rnacentral:rRNA from 1 species
CCUANGGGAGGCAGCAGUGAGGAAUAUUGGUCAAUGGGCGCAAGCCUGAACCAGCCAUCCCGCGUGGAGGAAGAAGGCGCUAUGCGUUGUAAACUUCUUUUCCAGGGGAAUAAAAUUUCGUACGAGUACGGGACUGAAGGUACCCUGGGAAUAAGCAUCGGCUAACUCCGUGCCAGCAGCCGCGGUAAUACGGAGGAUGCAAGCGUUAUCCGGAUUUAUUGGGUUUAAAGGGUGCGUAGGCGGAUUACUAAGUCAGUGGUGAAAACCUUCAGCUUAACUGGAGACUUGCCAUUGAUACUGUUAGUCUUGAGUAUGGUUAAGGUAGGCGGAAUGUGUAAUGUAGCGGUGAAAUGCUUAGAUAUUACACAGAACACCGAUUGCGAAGGCAGCUUACUGAGCCAUAACUGACGCUGAUGCACGAAAGCGUGGGGAGCGAACAGGAUUAGAUACCCCANUANUC